ensembl:snoRNA
AAGACUAUACUUUCAGGGAUCAUUUCUAUAGUUUUUGACUUGAGAAAUGUGUUUCUAAAGUGAUUGGUCUCGCCAACCACGAUGAUGAGGUGCGAUAUCCCUUCCUGAGCGUUAAGCUGGCUUCAAUAGAUGAGUUAUUCAUCUUCUUAUUGCCCUUGAUGAUCGUUCUUUGCUCCCACUUGGAGCAUGGAGGGAAGGGAUAUGGACAGAGUGGUU